rnacentral:rRNA from 1 species
UACGAAGGGGGCUAGCGUUGUUCGGAAUUACUGGGCGUAAAGCGCGCGUAGGCGGACAUUUAAGUCAGGGGUGAAAUCCCAGGGCUCAACCCUGGAACUGCCUUUGAUACUGAGUGUCUGGAGUUCGGGAGAGGUGAGUGGAAUUCCGAGUGUAGAGGUGAAAUUCGUAGAUAUUCGGAGGAACACCAGAAGCGAAGGCGGCUCACUGGCCCGAUACUGACGCUGAGGCGCGAAAGCGUGGGGAGCAAACAGGAUUAGAUACCCCAGUAGUCC